AUGGGGGAUUUCAACCACCCGGAUAUCUGCUGGGAUACCAGCACGGCGGGCGGCAGACAAUCCAGGAGAUCCCUGGAGUCUGUUGAGGAUAACUUCCAGGUAUUAGAGGGACCAACCCCAGGUGAAGCCUUACUGGACCUGGUGCUCACCAAUGCAGAGGAGAGCAUUACAGAGGUUAAGAUUGGAGGCAGCCUGGGCUGUAGUGAUCAUGCUCUGGUGGAGUUUGUGAUCUUGAGGAAUGCAGGCCUGGCAAAAAGCAGAGUCAGGACCCUGUGCUUCAGGAGAGCAAAAUUCCAUCUGCCCAAGGAAUUGCUGGAUGGGAUCCCCUGGGAAACUGUCCUUAAUGGCAUGGGUACAGAACAGAGCUGGCAGCUCUUUAAGGACACCCUUCUGAGAGUGCAAUGGCUCUCCAUCCCCGAGCAGAAGUUGAGCAGGGGAGGCAGGCGAAUGAUGUGGUUGUGCAAGGACUUGCAUCUUAAACUGAGGGAAAAGAGGGAAGUAUACAGGAGGUGGAAGCAGGGUUGUGUAGCCUGGGAGGAAUACAGGGCUGUUAUCCACAUGUGUAGAGAUAGGAUUAGGAAAGCCAAGGCACAGAUGGAGCUGAACUUGGCUAGGGAUGUGAAAAAUAACAAGGGGUUCUACAGGUACAUAGGCAGGAGGAGACAGGUCAAGGAGAGUGUUCCCCCUCUGAUAAAUGAGGAUGGAGAAGUGGCUUCCUCAGACGUGGAAAAAGCUGAGGUACUCGAUGAGUGCUUUACCUCAGUCUUCACUGGUGGUCAGGCUUCCCACGUCUGCCAGGACCGUGAGCCUCUAGGUGAGGGUGUGGGGAGUGGAUUCCAUCCCACUGUAACAGUGGAACAAGUCCGAGACCUCCUCAUGAAACUGAAUGCCUGUAAGUCUGUGGGGUCAGAUGAUAUCCAUCCCAGGGUUCUGAGAGGGAUGGCUGAUGUGGUUGCAGAGCCACCCUCCAUCAUAUUUGAAAAAUUGUGGCUGUCCGGUGAAGUCCCUAGUGACUGGAAAAAGGCAAACAUUACUCCCAUUUUUAAGAAAGGGAGAAAGGAAGACUUGGGGAACUACAGGCCAGUGAGCCUCACCUCUGUGCCUGGGAAGAUCAUGGAGCAGAUCCUCCUAGAAGACAUGUUAAGGCACAUACGUGACAAGGAGGUGAUCCGAGACAGCCAGCAUGGCUUCACCAAGGGUAGAUCUUGUCUGACCAAUCUGGUGGCCUUCUGUGAUGGAGUGACAGCAUUGGUGGAUGGGGGAAGGGCGACGGAUGGCAUCUACCUGGACUUCUGCAAAGCCUUUGACAUGAUGCCUCACCACAUCCUUCUCUCCAAAUUGGAGAGGUAUGGAUUUGAAAGAUGGACUGUUUGA
rnacentral:lncRNA from 1 species